CAGUGCUUGAUUUCGCAAAGAGAAAUGAAACAAUAGAUACUGUUGGCGUGAUCAGGUGUCCAUAACCAUUAACCACCAAGAAACGGAUCACAAUAUAAGGCAUCCAACAGAUCAGGAAGAUAUUCAGGUACCAUUCUUGUCCCUUGUCCCCUUGGAAGGAGACUGAAAGCAACCUUGGGAGGCUGACUUCUGAUCCAAGACCUGCAGCUGGACUCAGACUUAAUUAAUCUGGGCAUCUGUCUCUUCACUUUUAAUACAUACAUUCUGGAUGAAUUACAUCACCUCUCGUGUCUUUUCAUUGCUUUCGAUCCUUUCCUAAUUUACUUAAUGAGAAUAAAAUGAAUUAUUUUG